CUCCUGUUGCUACAACUACAACUCCAACAGAUACUACCAUUGCUACUCCUGUUGCUACAACUAAAACUCCAACAGAUACCACCAUUGCUACUCCUGUUGCUACAACUAGAACAGAUACUACCAUUUCUACUCCUCUUAUUACAACUCCACCAACUGACAUCAGACUUUCUAUGAAAGAUGUGCAGAAGAGGACUGUAGUGAGGCUGAGAAUGAAAAGCAGUCCUGAUCUGACAGAUCCAAACAUCAGGGAUCAAGGGCUGCAGCAGCUGGAGGCCUCUCUUCAAAGUCAGGUCUCUGGUGUUGUUAGUCUGCGUUGGAGGCACAUCAGCUGUUAAAAGCAACAAAAGGAAGCGGCAGAUACGUGUGUGGAGGACAGCGAUUUACUCUAAAAGAGGACUGCCGAGAAGAUCUGACAUCAGGAGCAGGAAAGCUAUGAUGAUGUUUGCAAACCUUUAGCUUGCAUUCUUAAUUAUUUUGAGUGGAUUUAGAUACAAAUGUUUAAUUACUACAGUGGCUAUAUUUUAUGUUUUACUUUGAUUGAUUUGCUGUUUCUCUAAACUGUUAAUGCAAUACUAUAACCAGAAAUGAAAAGUUGUUUUGGAAGAUUUUAGUGUUGAUAUUUAUGUUUAUGAAAGUUAUAUGUCACUUCAUUUGACUUUCACAGACUUUCCCACAGGAACCAGUCACCACACCAGCACAACAAACCUGCAGUUCAGUGAUAUGAGAUGCAGAUGAGUUGUGACUUAAAAGACUUGUGCAAGAACCAUAGACUGAAUUUAAAUAAGAACAUUGCAUCAGCAUGAAUAUAAAUGAAAAGCAAAGCAAAUGACGUGUUUUACACCUGCAUGCUUUCACAUGUCCAGAAUUUCAAGGAAAAAGUACAUUUCAAGGAUGAAGUUUAAGGAUCAAGUUGAGACAUACUUCCUGUAUGAUGUAUUACUUGUGGGCAACUUUACCCUUAUACAACCUGGCCUUGAGGGGUGUAUAGAUGACUCAAUAACCGAAAAAAAACAAGCCCAAAUCAGUAAGCUUUCACCACCUUCUUUGACAGUUAGAUGUUAAGUUCAAUGUCACUGGGAUUUGAACUAAUUCCUGAUUUUUAGUAGCUGCACCUAUGUCAUGAAUUUAAAAAUACUCAUUCUCAAGUUAUCGUGUUUACAUAAUUUUCUGAAAACUUUGUGCUUGACUUUUACUUCAAGGUCACUAGGUUUCAAACUCGUCAGAAACGUUUCGUACAUGCACCUAUGAUAUCAGUUUGGAAAUCGGAUGCAGCAUCAUUUUCAAGUUAUCAUGUUCAGAAACCUGGGUGUCCACGCUACCAGCCACCCCAUCCACCUGCAUGGCCGCGUGACGACAAAACCCCGUCAGCCUUUUACAGCUGAGGGGUAAAAACCUUUCACGAGAAAGAAAAAUGGAUGCAAAAAUUUCAUUCUGCAUUUAAACUGAUACAUAUUACAGAUCCUGUUCUAUGGGGUUAUAAUGAAUUCAGUCUACAAUAGAGGGGGAUUCAUUUGGGAUUCAUUUGUACAUUUGUCAACUCGCUUCCACUUAACAUUAAACUCAUCACUGUACUUAUUAAUCUCAUGGAUUGUUGGCUUUUCUCACAUCUGACUGAAACCUGAAUUCUUCUCACAGUCUGUGAUGCAUGUGUUGAUGAUCCUAACAACAAAAUGAAGUAGAAAAUAUUAUGGAGCCUGAUCUGGGCUGUUGCAUGAUUUUGGCUUAGAAAUAAAUUAAUAUUAUGUCAUACUGAAAUAUAAUUAACUUGUAGGUUUUUGUGACAGUAAUAAUCGUUGUACAGAAGUGAAAAACAGACUAUUAAAAUUUUCUACACCAGCAUUACAUUCUUCACCACUAGAUGGAGACAGUCACCAGUGUGUGUGAGUGCGUCUAUGUGGUAUGGAUUGACAUUUGACCUGGCACUGUACCUGGGCUCUGGGGACAUUUCGACUUUUUGCUGUGUAUUCAUGUGUCCCCCUAAAACAUGACUUGUAAAUGCAUUUUUAAGUGUCUAAAUAAUAAUUUUUUCUACUUCUUAUGAGGUCACUAUUUAUCUUUUGACGUGUAUUUGCUUAAACUGUAGUGUAAAUUCAUUUAUUAAACUCUAAUUAAAAGAUUUUCUGAUUUUCUUAAAAGUCCACCUAUACCCCUCACCUGAUUUUUGUGUAUUCCAAUGUAUUGCACAGCGACGUUUCGAGUUAGAGUGGAUGUGUGUAAGUACUGCAAUUUAAUACACAUUUUCAAUACACACGGCCGGAAGUCAUUGUGAUUGGUAGGCUAUAUAUAUAGGCGGUACCUACAGGAAACAGCGCCACGACUUCGCGCGUGCCCUUUAACAAGUAUAUGUCGACGGCAAUACGAAGACGGAUUAAAAACACAAAGCCAAUCAAAACGUACAGGAGAACAUGCGAAGGAGACGCAUUCCUCCACGGGAGGAUGCAGUCUGUCAUGUUUCUGCUGGAAGGGACAAACUGGGACUUGAUAUCCACUACAUAAAUGCCUUCAAAGGUAAGUUGGUCUUUAGUUUGGAU